UCUGUAAAAUAUUCCUAGGUUAAUGAAAUUAAGUAAAAUAAAUUUAUUUAAUACAAGGAUGAUGCAUAUCACUUUUAGGAAUAUUUUUAGAAUUUUAGGGACCCGAACUAGAGAUUGAAAAUCUAGAUUUAGAUUUGGUUUCUUGUAGGCCUUGAUGGGUAUUAUCAGUGUGUUAUGGGCCUAAGGCCAAUUUUGGUUAUUGUUGAUGUUGUUUCUUGGGUUUUCUUGCAGGAGAUCAGAUCUAGUUAUAAGAGAGACUCUACCAAAAUUUAGGCAAGAACCUAGGAUUAAUUAUUACUUCUUUAUUUUAAAGUUUAUUUUUUUAUCAGUCAAUUGAUAGAGGUCAGUGUGUUUGUAUAGGUGAUCGGUGCCGACCAGUGAUGCAUACAUUUUAUAUCAUUAUUUAGGUUGUAUCGUAGUUAGAAAUGAAGUUUUUUCUCAGGCCAAAAGUUACACAAGCGAGGACACAAUCUCAUUUAGCCUUUGUGGAUGCACCUGAUGAAUCUCAGAAUUGUCCAAAAAGUUACACAACUUGUAACACAAUGCGCAACACAACCCAAUUUAGCUUGUGUCGUUUUAAUGAAAAAAAUGCUGACGUGGCAUUUUCUCUUCUUUGACCUAAUACAUCAUAUUUUCUAGAAUCUUUUAUCUUUUUAACCUAUUCUAGGGCAGACCCCUAAAGGAUAUAUCUCUUUCUUACCCUAAGGCGAAAAGAAGGACAAUUUUGCUAGAGAGAAAAGGAGAGAGAGGAGCAUCCUUAGAUCUUUUCUACAGCAGCUAAAAGGAGGUCUUCUCCAAUGUUACAGUAGUAGAUUUUUCACCAUUUUAUUGACUUUUUCUUUCCCUUAGCUUAAUUUUUCUUUUCUUCUUUAUUUCUCUACUUGGGUUUAUCUUGAAACCAUGUUUAGUGAGUAGAACUUUGAGAUUCUAGAGAUGAGUAUGUAAAUAUUGUCUUGCAAUGUGGUUUUUGAACUGAUUUAGCUAUUUAAAUGAGAUUUGCUGUAUUUUUUA